CUACUUGGGAGCCUGAGGCAGGAGAACUGCUUGAACCCUGGAGGCAGAGGUUGCAGUGAGGUGAAAUUGCACCACUGCACUCCAGCCUGGGCAACAGAGCAAGACUCCAUCUCAAAAACAACAACGAAAACUCUGAACUCCGAAUUCUUGGGAAGAUUGAUUUGAGUAAUAAUAAAACUCUGGUCUCCCGCACAGCGAGCUCUGUGUGAAUUAUUCAUUCUCUGUGCAGUUCACCUGUUUUGAUAAAUCAGCUCUGUCUAGGCAGCAGGCAACACGAGCCCGUGUGGUGGUUACACUAGCCUGUAAUCCCAGCUACGUGGGAGGCUGAGGCGGGAGAAUUGCUUGAACCUGGGAGGCAGAGGUUGCAGUGAGCCAAGAUCAUGCCACUGCACUCCAGCCUGAGCAACAGAACGAGACUCCAUCUCAAAAAAAAAAAAAAAAAAAAAAAAAAUUGGAUGGUUAUAGUCAUGCUAAGAUGUAGGUACGCACUGAAAUGCCACAAAGUACAUCCACAAAGUACUAGAUUUUGUCACACCGUCAGCCCAGCUGCACUUACACAUAGCUUGGCUUAUACACUGAUACAAGAUGCCUUUGAAAGAAAGAUGGCACCUUCCUCCUCCUGCUUUCCACAGGCACCCCACUCUGCAUCAGAGCAGCUGUCUUUCACUGCACUCUGCGACUCCCUUGAGCUCCUCCCUGCGCAAGAUCCGAGAACCCUCUCUUGGAGUCUGGACUGGACCCCUUUCUCCAGCAGCAUUGGGUUCCUCGGAUUCACACUCACAGCAUGCUGAGGCCUGUCUUACAAAGAAUGAACUGAGGCUUAGAAAGAUGAAACCAAAACCUCCUCAGUCACGUGGCUGAAAAUCGUUGACUCCACCUGUGACCUGGACACCUCCUACCUCUAUCCCUGGAGUUGUGUCACCUUUCUGGACCAAACCACUGGACACCUUACACGUAUCGACUGGCAACGUGUACACCUCCACACACUGCUAAAUGACAAAGCCGAAUUUUGAAAUACGAUGCCAUGAGGUGUUUGGAGAAGACACAACUGAAAUGAUGUCAUGGAGGUGGCAAGGGAUCGUCUUGCCCUUUUCUUUUUUUCUGCCUGUAACUUCUGUCCCCCUAAAAUGCAUAAAAUCAAGCUGGAAUCCAACCACCUUAUGCACCAGUUCUUAGGACCUCCUGGGGUUGUGUCACCAAUCAUGGUCCUCAUAUUUGGCUCAGAAUAAAUCUCAUCAAAUA